rnacentral:rRNA from 1 species
CCUACGAGAGGCAGCAGUGGGGAAUAUUGCGCAAUGGGCGAAAGCCUGACGCAGCGACGCCGCGUGAGGGAUGAAGGUCUUCGGAUCGUAAACCUCUGUCAGCAGGGAAGAACGGUCACUGUGCUAAUCAGCAGUGAAUUGACGGUACCUGCAACGUAAGCACAGGCUAACCCCGUGCCCGCAGCCGCGUUAAUACGGAGGGUGCGAGCGGUAAUCGGAAUUUCUGGGCGUAAAGCGCUCGUAGGCGGGAUGUCAAGUCAAGGGUGAAAGCCCCGCGCGAAACGGGGGAACUGCCUUUGAAACUGGCAACCUGGAGUGUGUGAGAGGAUAGUGGAAUGCCAGGUGUAGGAGUGAAAUCCGUAGAUAUCUGGCGGAACAUCAGUGGCGAAGGCGACUAUCUGGCACAUAACUGACGCUGAGGAGCGAAAGCGUGGGUAGCAAACAGGAUUAGAUACCCUAGUAGUC